ACAUUGUUGAUUUAGAACUUGGCCUGAAUGUUGGUUGGAACGAAAUUUUGAGUAACAUUUAGCUUGGGAAAGGAUUAUAGGCUUUCUUUGAUCCGAUUGUGCCUUCCAAGCCUACCAAAUGACAUGUUAUCCAUAUAAUUUCCAUUUCGAGCCUAAAACCUUUUCAUUUGAAUAACCAUAUUUUAGCGUAUAUCUUUUGAGUGUAAUGGUGCGCUAUACCUC
rnacentral:lncRNA from 1 species